AUUGAACGCUGGCGGCAUGCCUUACACAUGCAAGUCGAACGGCAGCACGGGCUUCGGUCUGGUGGCGAGUGGCGAACGGGUGAGUAAUGUAUCGGAACGUACCAUUGAGUGGGGGAUAACGUAGCGAAAGUUACGCUAAUACCGCAUAUUCUCUCCGGAGGAAAGCAGGGGACCGCAAGGCCUUGCGCUCGUUGAGCGGCCGAUAUGCGAUUAGCUAGUUGGUGGGGUAAAAGCUCACCAAGGCGACGAGCUGUAGCGGGUCUGAGAGGAUGAUCCGCCACACUGGAACUGAGACACGGUCCAGACUCCUACGGGAGGCAGCAGUGGGGAAUUUUGGACAAUGGGGGCAACCCUGAUGCAGCCAUGCCGCGUGAGUGAAGAAGGCCUUCGGGUUGUAAAGCUCUUUCGGCCGGGAAAAAAUCGCAUGGAUUAAUACUCUGUGUGGAUGAUGGUACCGGAAUAAGAAGCACCGGCUAACUCCUUGCCAGCCGCCGCAGUAAGAC
rnacentral:rRNA from 1 species